rnacentral:rRNA from 1 species
UACGUAGGUGGCAAGCGUUGUCCGGAUUUACUGGGCGUAAAGGAUGCGUAGGCGGAUGUUUAAGUGAGAUGUGAAAUACCCGAGCUCAACUUGGGUGCUGCAUUUCAAACUGGAUAUCUAGAGUGCAGGAGAGGAAAGCGGAAUUCCUAGUGUAGCGGUGAAAUGCGUAGAGAUUAGGAAGAACACCAGUGGCGAAGGCGCUUUCUGGACUGUAACUGACGCUGAGGCAG